GAUGAACGCUGGCGGCGUGCCUAAUACAUGCAAGUCGAGCGAACGGACGAGAAGCUUGCUUUUCUGAUGUUAGCGGCGGACGGGUGAGUAACACGUGGAUAACCUACCUAUAAGACUGGGAUAACUUCGGGAAACCGGAGCUAAUACCGGAUAAUAUUUUGAACCGCAUGGUUCAAAAGUGAAAGACGGUCUUGCUGUCACUUAUAGAUGGAUCCGCGCUGCAUUAGCUAGUUGGUAAGGUAACGGCUUACCAAGGCAACGAUGCAUAGCCGACCUGAGAGAGUGAUAGGCCACACUGGAGCUGGGACGCGGUCCUGACUCCUGCGAGAGGCAGCAGUAGGGAAUCGUCCGCAAUGGGCGAAAGCCUUGCGGAGCAACGCCGCGUGAGUGAUGGAAGUCUUCGGAUCGUAAAACUCUGUUAUGAGGGAAGAACAUAUGUGUAAGGAGCUGUGCACAUCGUGACGGUACCUAAUCAGAAAGCCACGGCUAACUACGUG
rnacentral:rRNA from 1 species